AGUAAAGACAUAACAAUACUAUUACUAAUCAUCAAAAUAAUAAUAUGACUUUGCACUAAAGGAUAGUGAAUCAAUGUGGUAUGUCAUGUUAAAAAAAAGUGUGUGUGUGUGCGCGCGUGUGUGUGCGCGUGCCAUAGCGGGACCUUUGCUCUAUUCCCUGACCUACCUGAAUACCUGCCCUGACUGCCUCCUUGUCCAACAGAAGUUGUCAUUGGUUAGCAAAUACAGCACUCUGUAUAUCUUCAGUAAGAGAAAGGAGCUGACCUCUGCUGAACUGGAAGUGUUUAAGAAACAGGUGGACUGUCUCAAUUUGCCACCAGCUGUGUUCACAAACCCACAGAAAGAUUCCUGUCCAGAUCCGACACAGGACAACAGCAAAACACUGGACCUUGCGAAAGUGAUCGAAUUGCUGAGUGACAAGAUUGAUCUUCAGAAGACUUUAGAAGAGAUGAUAAGUAAAUUACAACUAGCGAGUAAUAAAGCUGAUUAAUUGUCAAAAUGUCAA